GAUGAAGAACGUAGCGAAAUGCGAUAAGUAAUGUGAAUUGCAGAAUUCAGUGAAUCAUCGAAUCUUUGAACGCACAUUGCGCCCGCCAGUAUUCUGGCGGGCAUGCCUGUUCGAGCGUCAUUUCAACCAUCAAGCCCCAGGCUUGUGUUGGAGCCCUGCGGCUGCCGCAGCCUCCCAAAACCAGUGGCGGGCUCGCUAUCACACCGAGUGCAGUAGUUUACUCUUCGCUCAGGGCGUGUGGCGGGUGCUAGCCGUGAAACCCCCAACUUCUCAAGGUUGACCUCGGAUCAGGUAGGAAUACCCGCUGAACUUAAGCAUAUCAUAAGCGGAGGA
rnacentral:misc_RNA from 1 species